UACGUAGGGUGCGAGCGUUAAUCGGAAUUACUGGGCGUAAAGCGUGCGCAGGCGGUUUUGUAAGCCAGAUGUGAAAUCCCCGGGCUUAACCUGGGAAUGGCAUUUGGGACUGCAAGGCUCGAGUGCGGCAGAGGAGACUGGAAUUCCUGGUGUAGCAGUGAAAUGCGUAGAUAUCAGGAGGAACACCGAUGGCGAAGGCAGCUCGCUGGGACGGUACUGACGCUGAGACGCGAAAGCGUGGGGAGCAAACAGG
rnacentral:rRNA from 1 species